ensembl:lncRNA
CUGGUUUUCAAAGCAAGGCCAAAAAAAGACGAGACAGGCCUUAUUUAUGUUACCUCUCAUUUUAAAAGACAAAUGUGACGACUGUGUGGCUGCACCUUUGUGGAAGUACGUUUGCUUGUGUGUAACCUCGACCCUUUCGACUCCCUUUUUUGGCCUUGUUGUUGAAAACUGACCCAUAUUGUUUGUCUUUGAGCACAAUUUUGUGUUUCAGUUCAUAUCAGAGAUUGUCAUGACCACAGACUGUAUAGAAAAGAUGGACGUAGCCACUUUGAUGUCACCAACUGGGGGAAUUCAGGGGGUUAUAAAGUGAAACCAAAGUGACAAAAACUGCACUUCCUCAAAUGGCCACUUGAGGCUGGCUCUAAAACAGAGUAAUCCCCAUAGACUUCCAUAAAUAGACAUGGUUACAGGCUGUUAAAAAGAACGAUUUUGGUCUCUAUAGCUAUUAAACCCAUAGGGAAGAUCAACUUUAUGCGUACGUAAGUGCGUGGCCACUCCUCAGCUCCAGAUCUUUGCAAAUUUUUAGAUUUGCCUUGAUUAGCCAAGAUGGCAAUGACUGGAGCCACACUGAACUUCAAAACUGCUGUUCAGGAAAGCUGUGGGUGAUGUCAUAUUGGGUUCAUUCAUCUUUAUAUGCAGUCUAUAGACCAUUGGUUUGUAGACUACAGCUUUUAAUCCUCAAGUUUGAAAUUUGGCCAUCGCCAUCUAAGUCUUUUUAAAUAUGACAUGCCCAUACGGUAGCAAACUGCCAAUCACAAGGUAGCCUCGCCCUAAAACAUACCCUCCCUUAUCAUCUAAUUACCUCCAAAUGGGACGACAAUGUACAAAAUGAACACUAUGGUGUGUUUCAGGAGACAUAGAAGUAGUAAUUAAGACCAUAAACCCAUUAAGAAAAUGUUUAAUGAGGAAGCAAAUUAAGUGAGAAGUAGCCGAAUUUUCUCCUAGAUAUCUAUAUUUCCCAACCAGAGGAGUUGCCCCCUGCUGGCCGUUAAAAAGAAUACACAUUUCAGGCACUUUUACAUUGUCUUUACAUCCAUCUUUUCUGUACAGUCUGUGGUCGUGACUAAGGGAAUCUAUUUUACAUAAUUUUCAAACCCAAAAUCCUCAGCCUGCCAUGCUAUGCCUCACUUUAUCACGUAGGUGGAUCCAGUCGGCUGUAAACAAUCAGUAAUGUCUGGAACUCAGUGAUUAUGAAGGAAAAAAACAAACCACAGUAUCAGCUGUUAAACCAUGCUCUUGCCUUGGGAAUGGUCGUUUCUGUCAGGAGUUAAUGUCUGCCGGUUGUCUGACUGAAUAUAAAUGUCCAGUCACAGUAAGAAUCAUCUCAUAUACAGCAGAUUGUGGGGAUAAUUGAUUAAAGAGAACAUAGGAAAUAUAUACUGUACUUUGCUGAUGCUUUUUACCACUUGUCCAGAAGUUUUGUGUAUAUUAACUGUUGUGAGCAGCACUGAACAUGUAGACCACAGGCACAAGCUUGUAGCGUCCCUGUAUGUGUGAGGGGAACAAAAACAUCUGUAACUGCCAUAAUGCCCAGCUAGAUAGCCCACUGUGGUUUGCAAAUAGGGAAAACUUGUAUGCAGGCAUAAGCACAUUAUAGUUUCAUUUUUCUUUCUUUUUUUAAAAAAAAAAAUCUGACUGUAGAUUGUAGUGAUGUGGCAACAGCUGUGACUGAGAUUUCUCCACCAAAAAAAUGGUUGUUUCUGGUGGGAUUAUGCACUGUCUGGGUAUGUACAGCUCCAUGUGUUCACGUAUGGCCGUAUGUAUGUAUGUGUGAAUAUCUAUGUAAAUACAUAUUAUUUCUUUUUAUUUUUUAAACUACAAAUGGGAUUGUUGUCAUGUUGGCAGAUUUCUCCUCACAUGGGGCUUCGUGACCGGAGGCCAGUCAGCAGUGAAAAUGACACAGCCGUCUAUGUUGUGUUUUUCUCAACAAUUUAAGGGGAUUUUAAAUUUUUUGCUGAUUGGAUCCUCUCCAGGUUUAUUCUCUUGAGGGUGUUUGAAAAGGAAUACUGAGCUCUGGAUGUGAAGACCUCCACUCCAGGCUAUGAACGCUACAAGCAAAACUAAAAGAAGGAAUUUCACGUUUGCCGGUAGAGAAAAAUGGUGCCAUUUAGUGAAACAAAAACUCUGUCAUGCAGCUGGCAGGUCUAUGUCUUUAGUUUCAUUUUCCUGUUCUCUUUUGUUCUGGGCAUUCUUUUUGUAGUGUUCCUCAGCUUCACUCACCACUUUGAAGGAAAAGCAGUCUUAAUUCCUGCCCUGGAUCAAUGAACUAAGCUGUUGCGUAACACUGCUCUGGCAAACACUCCAGGACUUCAGUGUGGCUACUUGUGAUGUUGUAUUUAACCAGUGAAAGAAAGGACUGUCCAGAAACAAAUAAAAGCGAAUUUUCUUUAA